UACGUAGGUGACCAGCGUUGUCCGGAUUUACUGGGCGUAAAGAGCGCGCAGGCGGUCGUUCAAGUCGAGUGUGAAAGCCCCCGGCUCAACUGGGGAGGGUCAUUCGAUACUGUUCGACUUGAAGGCAGGAGAGGGCAGCAGAAUUCCCGGUGUAGUGGUGAAAUGCGUAGAUAUCGGGAGGAAUACCAGUGGCGAAGGCGGCUGCCUGGCCUGUUCUUGACGCUGAGGCGCGAAAGCUGGGGGAGCAAACGGG
rnacentral:rRNA from 1 species